UAAGUGUGAAAAACGGUCAUAGGUCAUUUUUCUCAGUGCUGUUAUAACUUCAAACGGUCACUAAACGAACUGUUGUAAGUCAAGGACUAUCUGUAUUACUGACAGACUGAGUAUUCUGAUAGUUACAACCAGGCUUUUGAUUGAUGUGGUUUUCUCUACAUGGAGUUAUCUUAAAAGAAUGGGAACUCCAAGCUCAUCUACAGAAUCCCUUUUCUCUGUCCUAAUAAUUUCAGAGACAAAUUUGCUUAAGAUAUUUGUUUUUGUUCAGCAUUUUUACUUUAUUCACACAAUUGCAGCAUAAAUCUUUUUUUUUCUAUGCUAGUUCCCUAAUUUAUAUUUGUCUUUCAAGUCUUCUAUUUAACUUCAGAAGCUGGGCAAAUUUGGGCCUGGUUAAUACUUGGAUGAAGGUUACCAAGCAAUAGCAGGGCUUGUAGGAUUUGUUGGGAAUGCAGGAAAAAAAAAUCCCUGAAGAAUACCGUGGAAAAUCACUUCUAGAUCAUUACCCAGACAACUGCAUGGACAUGUCCACAAAGUUGGAAACUCAUGAGGACCAGUACAUUUAAAAAAAAAAAACCCUAACAUUUAACUGGCUUGGAAUUUGGAGACAUUACCUCACUAUCAUAAGAUUACUUUAAAUGGAAAGCAUGUUAAAAUUAAAUAAAUACAUCCUAUUACUCAGGAACAGAUCAUGAAGUGAUGAGCACUGUGCCACACAGGAAGCGAUCGUGGCCCAAAUUAUUCACCCUCAGAAGAAAAAGAGAAAAUAUCUUGCAUAGCAUUUGCCUCUUCUGUUUCUUGCAGGAGUUACGAUGGUAUAGCCCAAAGAAGAAAUUAAGCUUAACAGACCAUAAUAAUGUAAUGGGAAUUAAUAUUCAUUUAAGGCUGAUAAAUUUAUACAUCUUUUAAAACGUGCAGCCUGGGGUGCUGAUGUUCCUGAGCAUCAAAGGAAGCUGUACUACGUAUAUGUUGGUUUCCCACAUAAUGAUUUGACUGCAGUCCUCCACUGAGAAGCACAUUGGCAGCCCAGAAUUACCUUUAUGAAACUACACUGGCAUUUUUCCUCUGCCAAUUUCUCUUUUGUGUGUUUUUUGCAAAAUGUCUACCUUGAAAGGAAUGCAAGCUUGGCUGGCCACAGAGAGAUGUGGGCUUUAACUGAUGGGAAGAUAUUCUUUACCAUAGAUUUCCCUAAUCUUAUUCAGACAUGACAUGCAGAUUUCCCUUUUUGAUAGUGGAUAACAGUAAUUCUGAGAGGCACCCUCCCACAAAAGCCACAGACGUGAGAUUUGACUCAAAUCUUUACCCACGGCUUUGCAAUGCAAAACUGGUGGAAUUUUUGGUACUUUCUGUUUACAGCGAAAACUAUUUUACAGGGGUUUUCCAGCAUCACAGAUAAUUAUACAGCUGGGGAAAGUGGGCGUCACUAGAGGUAGAUUAUUCUGAUGCUCAGUCACCCAACUUUUUAACCUGAAGGAAAUCUGAAGAUGAUUAUAUGUUCAGAUAGUAGUGCCAUCAAUUUAUUAAAACCAAUUCUUCUAUUUUAGCUCCACAAUGAAGCCACAUUGCAAGAUAAAGGGGUCAGCAAGGAUGGGCUUUUGAUUCACAUUUUACAGGCUAGUGCAGAAAUGUUUAUAUUGCUGGGCAAAUGGAAUUGCUGUGUAGUUUUGAACUGCUAGAUACACUCUCAGCAUACCUACAUCUGAAAUUCCACCAACAUUCACCUGAUAGUGUUCUAUAUGCAAAGAGUAAGAGACCAGUUGGAAUAAUAUUUUAUAAUAUUUGCUCCAUACAGACAAGAGCAACCCAAGAAAAAUAAAGGCACAUGUCAAUUACUCUUUUUCUUAAUUUGUUCACACAUCCACAUUAUUUACAAAGAUGUAUCUUAAUUAGGUCUACAGAAUUACAGUACACUAAGGAACACACACAUAUGAGCAAGGUAGUUCAUGAAAACAUAGUACUAGUAAUUUAAACAGCAGAUAUAUCUAUUUAAAAAUACAAAUCGGAAGUGACAGAUGGCAGAUGAAGGCUUUUACUAUUACAAGCAUGAUAUACUGUAUAGAUGGGAAAUUUUAGAAUAAAACUCUGCAAACACUUUGUAAGGGUACCGGGAAGUCAUUCAUACUUGGAUAUGUCCAAUGCAAAUAACCAAGAGAAUUUGUUGAGUUCAAGGCACAGAAGAGUUUAUUAUUACUACCUACACACAAGAAUCUAGUCAACAUUCAAAGCUACAAGGGCAAUUUGGAAAUAAACUUGUGCGUUUGGUGUGCAGGUGAGCAUUAACAUGAACAAUCACAACACUGGAAGUCAGCAUACUCCGAAGCUUGUUAUGGAUGACUCAUCUGAGUUUUCGUAAUGUUUCACAGUAGACUUCUGAACUGAUGGUUGAACCACGCUCCAUGAACUUCACUAGCAGUACUCCUUUGGCAUCUUCACAUUUGGCGGGA